AUUGAACGCUGGCGGCAUGCUUUACACAUGCAAGUCGAACGGUAACAGGCCUUCGGGUGCUGACGAGUGGCGAACGGGUGAGUAAUGCAUCGGAACGUACCCAGAGGUGGGGGAUAACGCAGCGAAAGCUGUGCUAAUACCGCAUGUGAUCUGAGGAUGAAAGCGGGGGACCGAGCAGCAAUGUUUGGCCUCGCGCCUUUGGAGCGGCCGAUGUCGGAUUAGCUAGUUGGUGGGGUAAAGGCCUACCAAGGCGACGAUCCGUAGCUGGUCUGAGAGGACGACCAGCCACACUGGGACUGAGACACGGCCCAGACUCCUACGGGAGGCAGCAGGGGGGAAUUUUGGACAAUGGGCGCAAGCCUGAUCCAGCAAUGCCGCGUGCGGGAAGAAGGCCUUCGGGUUUUAAACCGCUUUUGGCAGGAACGAAACGGUGUCCGCUAAUACCGGGCGCUAAUGACGGUACCUGCAGAAUAAGCACCGGCUAACUACGUG
rnacentral:rRNA from 1 species